AUUGAACGCUGGCGGCAGGCCUAACACAUGCAAGUAGGACGCAGUUGCGAACGUGAUAGUAACGCGUAGGUAACUGCCUAGUAGUGGGGGCUAACUAUUGGAAACGAUAGCUAAUACCGCCUACUAGUAGAUGGAACUGCGUUGUAUUAGCUAGUGGGUGGGGUAAUGGCCUACCUAGGCAACGAUCCAUAGCCGGCCUGAGAGGGUGAUCGGCCACACUGGGACUGAGACACGGCCCAGACUCCUACGGGAGGCAGCAGUAGGGAAUCUUCGGCAAUGGGGGAACGCUGACCGAGCAACGCCGCGUGGGUGAAGAAGGUUUUCGGGUCGUAAAGCUCUGUUGUUAAGGAAGCGGUACUUAACCAGAAAGGGACGGCUAACUACGUGCCAGCAGCCGCGGUAAUAC
rnacentral:rRNA from 1 species